AUCCCUUUCCACAAACACCAGACAACACUUGGUGAAGGUUAAAACAGCAACUGACUUUACUAGACAUAGUACACAUAUUUUAAGCCCCUAACAGCCUCAUUUACAUACAAUGGUGCAUAAAGCACUGUAUUACAAGGAAGGGUUGGGUCAGACAAUAGCAAGGGCUAAUGGGAGAUUGAGGAGGGACAAAGCAGCUAGUUUAACC